UACGUAGGGUGCGAGCGUUAAUCGGAAUUACUGGGCGUAAAGCGUGCGCAGGCGGUUUUGUAAGCCAGAUGUGAAAUCCCCGGGCUCAACCUGGGAAUGGCAUUUGGGACUGCAAGGCUGGAGUGCGGCAGAGGAGACUGGAAUUCCUGGUGUAGCGGUGAAAAUGCGCAGAUAUCAGGAGGAACACCGGUGGCGAAGGCGGGUCUCUGGGCAGUAACUGACGCUGAGGAGCGAAAGCGUGGGGAGCGAACAGG
rnacentral:rRNA from 1 species